UACGGAGGGCGCGAGCGUUAAUCGGAAUUACUGGGCGUAAAGCGCGCGUAGGCUGUUGUGUAAGUUGGGGGUGAAAUCCCACGGCUCAACCGUGGAACAGCCCUUGAUACUGCGCGACUUGAAUCCGGGAGAGGGUGGCGGAAUUCCAGGUGUAGGAGUGAAAUCCGUAGAGAUCAAGAGGAAUACUCAUUGCGAAGGCGACCUGCUAGAACAUAACUGACGCUGAUGCGCGAAAGCGUGGGGAGCAAACAGG
rnacentral:rRNA from 1 species